AUUGAACGCUGGCGGCAGGCCUAACACAUGCAAGUCGAACGAGUGGCGGACGGGUGAGUAAUGUCUGGGAAAAUGCCUGAUGGAGGGGGAUAACUACUGGAAACGGUAGCUAAUCCCGCAUAGCAUCAGAUGUGCCUAGAUGGGAUUAGCUAGUUGGAGGGGUAACGGCUCACCAAGGCGACGAUCCCUAGCUGGUCUGAGAGGAUGACCAGCCACACUGUAGCUUGGACACGGUCCAGACUCCUACGGUAGGCAUCAUUGUGGAAUAUUGCCCAAUGGGCGCAAGCCUGAUUCCGCCGUGCCGCGUGUAUUAAGAAGGCCUUCGGGUUUUAAAGUACUUUCAGCGGGGAGGCGUUACCCGCAGAGGAAGCACCGGCUAACUCCGUGCCAGCAGCCGCGGUAAUAC
rnacentral:rRNA from 1 species